rnacentral:lncRNA from 1 species
UCCAUGAUUGUGAGGUAUCGUCAAGCUAUAGACGUUAAUUUUAGCACUUGAGGUAACCCAACUGUUUUCAUUGUUUUGUUUUUCUUUCUUUUGGUUUCUUUUUGUUUCUUUGUUCUCUUUGUUUUGUUUCUUUUGGGAAGUUUAAUGCAGUUGAGCUUGAAAGAUGCAGAAUUUGCGCCAUGUCCAUACCACCACCUUGGAGCAUGUUUCCUUGUAAGUAGUGACACACAUAUCAUCAUCCCUCCAAACUUAUUUUCGAACUUAUGUUUUGUAAUAAGUUUGGGGAAGGGCGGUGAGAGUAGAUAUGUGUAGCACUUUCAUCAUUUUUUUGUUUGUUAUACUGUUUUAUC